rnacentral:rRNA from 1 species
AUUGAACGCUGGCGGCAUGCCUUACACAUGCAAGUCGAACGGUAACAGGUUAAGCUGACGAGUGGCGAACGGGUGAGUAAUGUAUCGGAACGUGCCCAGUCGUGGGGGAUAACUGCUCGAAAGAGCAGCUAAUACCGCAUACGACCUGAGGGUGAAAGCGGGGGAUCGCAAGACCUCGCGCGAUUGGAGCGGCCGAUAUCAGAUUAGGUAGUUGGUGAGGUAAAGGCUCACCAAGCCGACGAUCUGUAGCUGGUCUGAGAGGACGACCAGCCACACUGGGACUGAGACACGGCCCAGACUCCUACGGGAGGCAGCAGUGGGGAAUUUUGGAAAAUGGGCGCAAGCCUGAUCCAGCCAUGCCGCGUGCGGGAAGAAGGCCUUCGGGUUGUAAACCGCUUUUGUCAGGGAAGAAAAGGUUCUGGCUAAUACCUGGGACUCAUGACGGUACCUGAAGAAUAAGCACCGGCUAACUACGU